ACGUGCGGAUCCUUUACCCUUUUGAAUGGCAUUGUUUUUCAUUCUUCCCUUAAACCUUUCUUUUAAAACAUAACCAAUUCUUUUAAUUAAAAAAAAAUUGCAGCUAUUACCCUCUCUGCUAGGGUUCAUUUAGCUUACAGUCGCCGAACCACUAUCAUGCUUAGCCGACGGUGUGCGAAUGAUGGCCGGAUUUUUCCAACAGAGGCUGCGAACAUGGAGAUCUGGUUCUAUUGGCGUGGAGUUGUACAGGGAAGAAACCACUCGUGGGGAGGCCGUUUCUGGCUAGCUGCAGCGCUGGUGUUCUAGAAACCUUUAGGGUUUCUGGUGCCUUUCCGAUAUUGGGCUCAUUUGGGUUUCGGGUUUGGGUCAGAUAUUAUUUAGGUUAAUUGGGUCAUGGGCUAUUUUAGACCGAUGGACUUUUAUUGUAUUGGUUUAUUUAUUUAUUUAUUUUUUGUUUUAUUCUGGUUUUGGGUUCUUUUAGUGGCCCAGAGUUUUUGUAAAUGGACAUUGGUUUAUUUUGAUUUUAUUAUUAUUUUUUAUUUUUAAUUUA